GACGAACGCUGGCGGCGUGCUUAACACAUGCAAGUCGAACGGAAAGGCCUCUUUCGGGGGGUACUCGAGUGGCGAACGGGUGAGUAACACGUGAGUAACCUGCCCUUGACUUUGGGAUAACUUCAGGAAACUGGGGCUAAUACCGGAUAGGAGCUCCUGCUGCAUGGUGGGGGUUGGAAAGUUUCGGCGGUUGGGGAUGGACUCGCGGCUUAUCAGCUUGUUGGUGGGGUAGUGGCUUACCGAGGCUUUGACGGGUAGCCGGCCUGAGAGGGUGACCGGCCACAUUGGGACUGAGAUACGGCCCAGACUCCUACGGGAGGCAGCAGUGGGGAAUAUUGCACAAUGGGUGGAAGCCUGAUGCAGCAACGCCGUGUGCGGGAUGACGGCCUUCGGGUUGGAAACCGCUUUCGCUCAUGACGAAGCUUUGUGUGACGGUAGUGGGUAAAGAAGCACCGGCUAACUACGUG
rnacentral:rRNA from 1 species